UUCUAAAAUAAAGAUCACAUUUAUUAUCACAAGUUGCAUAAAAACACACAGCUUUUACAAAAAUGAUUGAUAGAAAAAUACUCAUUUGACUAUGUCGUGAUAUUUGUGGGAACACCACACUAUUGCUGUACCUCCAGCUAAAGCUUCAAAGAAACUGGUUUUCAUAAUUAAAUCUCUACUAUUUACCACAACCCAUCUUUGGAAAGAAGUUCAUACCAUGUUCUGAACAGACCAAAGCAUUUGCUCAGUUAAAUUACAUUCCAGGCCUGGUGGUUGCUUGUGUAUGUAACAUGGGACACAUUUUUGAUAAUCACAGGAUAGCUAUGCUGGACCUUGUCCAUCUCAGUCUAUACCCUCCCUUCCCAGAGGAGGAUGAGCUAUCUCCUCAGGGCACCUGAGCCCACUCCAAGCUUCUUUCAGUAAGUAACUCAGAAGAAGUAAUUACAAAGACUUACAAAGAAAACCAUUAUUUCACCUGUCUUUUCCUCUGAGCUGAGAAUCUAAUUUCUGGUUUAUCAGAUUAAGGAAUAAUACCUACUGAAAUGGCACGAAAACUGUUAGGGGCACCUGGGUCAAACACUGACUUCACUUCCACGAGUAUCCCAAAUGACUCAAGUAAGUGGUAGAAAGACACAAGUCUACCUCUACAUAUUUUCCUGAGUGAAUUGAUACCUGACAGGGACAGCUAUCAUUGCAGCUUGGUCUCAUUAUGUGACCUGGUUUUACAGGUAGCUGUCCUUUGAGACAUCUUCCUUUUCUUUUAUAGGCUCCAUGACCAUUCAAAAGGUGAAGGCAUUCCUGUCACGUCUUCUCAAAGUUCCUGUGUCAGAACUUCUGCUGUCCUAUGAAAGUCCCAAGAUGCCGGGCAGAGAAAUUGAACUAGGAAAUGACCUACAGUCAUUACAGUUUUAUUCUGUGGAAAAUGGAGAUUGUCUACUAGUGAGAUGGUAACAAUCAGCUUUAAAAAUUUAGUGACUUGACUGUUCAUCGUGACUGGGGUUCGCUGGAAAGAAAUGAUUUGCUGGAACAGUUCUACUGUCAAAUGAGGUUUUACAGCUUGCUCAAAGUAUAACAAAGGAUGUACUUUUCACCAGGAAGAGACCAUUUGUAGGCUUGUAUAUAAUAGCAGUAAUAAAGGCUUUGACUACUCAUGA